AGUCGAGGGGUAUUUAUCUUCGGAUAGAGAGACCGGCGCACGGGUGCGUAACGCGUAUGCAAUCUACCUUUUACAGAGGGAUAGCCCAGAGAAAUUUGGAUUAAUACCUCAUAGUAUGUGAGAAUGGCAUCAUUUUCACAUUAAAGUCACAACGGUAAAAGAUGAGCAUGCGUCCCAUUAGCUAGUUGGUAAGGUAACGGCUUACCAAGGCUACGAUGGGUAGGGGUCCUGAGAGGGAGAUCCCCCACACUGGUACUGAGACACGGACCAGACUCCUACGGGAGGCAGCAGUGAGGAAUAUUGGACAAUGGGCGCAAGCCUGAUCCAGCCAUGCCGCGUGCAGGAUGACGGUCCUAUGGAUUGUAAACUGCUUUUGCACAGGAAGAAACAACGCUACGUGUAGCGUCUUGACGGUACUGUGAGAAUAAGGAUCGGCUAACUCCGUGCCAGCAGCCGCGGUAAUACGGAGGAUCCAAGCGUUAUCCGGAAUCAUUGGGUUUAAAGGGUCCGUAGGCGGUUUAGUAAGUCAGUGGUGAAAGCCCAUCGCUCAACGGUGGAACGGCCAUUGAUACUGCUAGACUUGAAUUAUUAGGAAGUAACUAGAAUAUGUAGUGUAGCGGUGAAAUGCUUAGAGAUUACAUGGAAUACCAAUUGCGAAGGCAGGUUACUACUAAUGGAUUGACGCUGAUGGACGAAAGCGUGGGUAGCGA
rnacentral:rRNA from 1 species